CCGUUGUACACACCGUCCGUCACACCAUGGGAGUGGGGUUCACCAGAAGGCGUUAGCCUAACCGCAAGGAGGGCGACGACCACGGUGUGGCCGAUGACUGGGGUG
rnacentral:rRNA from 1 species